CACGUAGUUAGCCGUGGCUUCCUCCUUGGGUACCGUCAUUAUCGUCCCCAAAGACAGAGCUUUACAACCCGAAGGCCUUCAUCACUCACGCGGCGUUGCUGCAUCAGGGUUUCCCCCAUUGUGCAAUAUUCCCCACUGCUGCCUCCCGUAGGAGUCUGGGCCGUGUCUCAGUCCCAAUGUGGCCGAUCACCCUCUCAGGUCGGCUACGCAUCGUCGCCUUGGUGAGCUUCUACCUCACCAACUAGCUAAUGCGCCGCGGGUCCAUCUUAUAGCGGAUUGCUCCUUUGGUUAUCGAUCCAUGCGAAUCAACAACUUUAUGCGGUAUUAAUCUUCCUUUCGGAAGGCUAUCCCCCUCUAUAAGGCAGGUUACCCACGUGUUACUCACCCGUCCGCCGCUAAUCCGUUCCCGAAGGAACUUCAUCGCUCGACUUGCAUGUGUUAGGCACGCCGCCAGCGUUCGUCCUGAGCCAGGAUCAAACUCU
rnacentral:rRNA from 1 species